AACUGUUCAAAACACAUAAAUCUCUGAAAAUGCAUAUUUCAGUGUGUUGGGUAUUUUGGCCAUGACUCUAAGUAAAUGCCAGGCUCAAGUGAUCAAUAACAAAGUACCAGUGCUCAUGCUCAUGUAUUGCAGGAAAACAGCUAACAUACUUGCAUGCCAUUUAAAGUAAGAGACAUCAUGGGAUAUUUGCAGCAGUUUUUGCAAAUAAAUGUCACUUCUUGAAAUUAAUUAUUUUGUACAGUAAACAAGGUACCUGAAGUAGUGCAAAGCAAUUAAUUGAAUUUUUGAUUAUUUUUUUAUUUUAAAAUUACUAAUUGACUGACAUUGGUUCAAAUAACUGAAUUAUACUACGUUCAAUUUUGAUCUUGACACUGUUAACGUGUUUCUAGCAGGAAAUCAAAUGGAGCACGAAAAGCCGCAAUUUUUACACAUUUUUAUCGCUGAAAAUAUGGUAAUUUAACUGCAUUGACCGCUACAACUUCUGAGUGGGGAAAGUCAUUGCAUCAGCGCAUCCAAACUCGCAAGUUGUGAGUGACACAUAGUGUAUUGUAUAGGUACAGUGAGCUCCAUAAUGUUUGGGACAAAGAAGAAUUAUGUCUUGAUUUGGCUCGGUACUCCACAAUUUUAGAUUUGUAAUCAAACAAUGGUUGCACAGGUAUUUCUGAUUAGUCAGGUGUCCUCAAUUGCUUCUUUAGUGCCGGUAUAAGAGACCUUUCAGUAUCUUUUCUUGAUUCUAGGCUUUUGAUUUCCUUUGGAGUCUGUUAUUUGCCUUUGUCAACAUGAGGACCAGAGUUGUGCCAAUGAAAGUCAAGGAAGCCAAUAUGAGGCUGAGAAAUAAUAAAAAAACAGUCAGAGACAUGAAAACAAACCCCCAAACACCUGUGUGACAGAUCAGAAACACUCUUCAGGAGGCAGUGACUAUUGUUUGCAGAAGACUGCACGAUCCAUACUACAGUGUACACUGCAAGAUGCAAAGCAUUAGUUAGCCUCAAAAACAGGACGGCCAGGAUACAGUUUGCUAAGAAGUAUCUAAAAGAGCACAGUUCUGGAAAAAGGUCUUGUGGACAGAUGAGACCAGGAUUCAUUAUCAAAGUGAUGGCAAGAGAAAAGUGUGGAGGCCAAAAGUACCUGCUCUUGAUCCAAAGAACCCUCUCAUCUGUGAAACGUGGUGGGGGUGUUAUGGAUUUGGAAUGUAUGGCUGCCGCAGGUACUGGCUCCCUUGUCUUCAUUGAUGAUAUAACUGCUGAUAGCAGCAGCAGAAUAAAUUCUGAAGAGUAAAGAAGCAUCUUAUCUGUUCAAGUUCAACCAAAUAUCUCUAAACUCAUUGGACGGCACUUCCUAAAGCAAGACAGACAUACUUCUGAAUCAACAAAGGAGUUUUUCAAGCCAAAAACUGGAAAAUUCUUGACUGGCUAAGCCAAUCUGAAUCCAAUUGAACAUAUGUUUCGUAUGCUCUACUGGAAACUUAAGGCACUGAGCCCCUAAAACAAGCAGGAGCUGAAGUUGGCUACAGUACAGGCCUGUCAGAACAUCACCAGAGAAGAUGCUCGGCACCUGGUGAUGUCUAUCGGUCACUAGUCUCUCUUUGACAGACUUUCUCAUAAAUGUGAAAUUCUUGUUGACAGACGAUUUCAAGACGUGAAUUACCUAACUGAAAGCAUAGGUGAGAACUUCCUUGUCGAAAGUGGUGGAAGCUGAAUAGGCUUGACCAAUCACAGCUUCGCGGAGCACUGGUAAACGGAAGCCAUGGAAAACACCACAAGGGUACUGACGGCUUAGUCUCUCAGACUGUAAUAAAUUUCUCAUCCCAAUCAAACUUUUUCAAAAAACAUUGCUUUGUAGGACUUUUCCUCCAUUUAGCCGAUGAGACAGAUGUCUCAGGUUAUGCGAAGACAAUUGAAACUCUUCUGUUCUCAAUGUCUUUGUUGGUGUUUCAGUUUUGUCCUGCAUAUGUGCCAGCUAUACCUUUACUCAUCAGAACGCUAACCUGCUCCUCCAUAAUUGACAAAAGCGGGCUAACAACCAGCACAAUGGCCUAUUUUGGCCAUUGACACUCGUGGAAGUUCUUAGCUAGUAGUGAGCAAACUGGGCUAUGUUUGUUAUGCCAAACCUUUACCAUAACCUGUCUUACAGACAGGCAUAUACAUCCCACCUUUCCAGUAAAUAUCUCAAUAUAAGGCUUUGCUGUGGUUUAAAACUUUAAAUGCAGUGUAAUCUGCUAAUUUCAGAACUAAUCCUUUUGAAAAGUUUGUCUGUAAUCUCCAUUGCAUUCUCGUUCAAAGAGUUGCCGAUCGGACUAUAAACACAGUUGUUCUUUUGCUUCUUGGUUGGAUAUGGUAUGCCUAAGUGAGCAUACCAUAGACUAAAUUAUAAAUUUAAUCCUGAUUAGCCAAUGGGUUUUGAGAUUUGAUGGGUCACAGGGUUCAAGCAGUCAUUGCAUGCAAAGGAUAUACAACAAAGUACUAAACAGGACUACUUUCAGUUUCAUACAUACAUACAUACACCUUCUAUGUAAUCCAGUAGAUUCUGUAGUGUGAAUGAUAUGUUUCUUGGUAUAAAUGUCUGUUUAUAAAUGUGACCUAUGUGCUGCUUGGGAAAUGUCCCCAUGGGGAUAAUGAAGUAUUGCAUAUAUGAAUGUGUGUAUGUAUGUAUGUAUAGUUAGUUGCAAAUAUACAAGAACUUGCACAUUUUGUAAAAUGAACUUGACAGUCAAGAACAAACAUAUCCUUUCUGGUGGAAUAUUCUUUAGGUAUUUACCAGCAGUUUCAUAUAUUAAUUUACAUGUCUUGCAUGAGGCAAUUUUUGUUAUUUGACACUGUGAUGUGACAAAGUUUGAAUGAGCACAUAGUCAAACGGUGAGAUUAAAAAACACAUGACACCAGUCUAGUGAUUUCUUUGUAAAACUGGAGCAUUUGCUGUGUGUACAUUAGCUUAGUUAACAUUAGUAGCUUGAGUUUUAUCAUCAUUAUUGCCAAUUUGGUUAUGCUAAUGGAACUCGGCUCUGCCUUGUUCCCAAGGGGCCAAGACUGAACUUUGUUUUUGAAGCUCACUUCCAAGUCUUCUUGAGAGAAUCUGCUCUCUUGUCUAACCACAGUUUGCUCCAGUCAAGGUCUUUUAGCCACCUGUUUCAGUAUAAGUCAAUGGUACCAGUGUAAUCAAAACACAAAGUCAGUCAUUUUUUCCCACAAGUACAUGUAGCCGAAAUUGGUGUUUCUUGUUUGUUUAAUGUCAUAAAGUUUUUGUGUCGAUUGGACAGCAUCCUUUGUGGACCAGUCAGGGACAAUUUGCGUCACUGCCUAGUCACUGCACGUCACUUGGGGAGCUGAAUCUCACGCACUUAGUGAAUGGCCCAGACUUCAUAACCAUAUGAGACUUCAUAACUGUAUUCCAUAGGCUUUUCCCAAAUGACACACUAAUUUAACAAAUCAGCACAUAGGGUGACACGUGAAGAAAAAAAGACCAAUUUUGACUACUUGUUCUUGUGGGAAAAUUUUUUUUGACUAUUUUGCCAUAUUGCUACCACUGACUAACAAUGAAACAGGUGACUGACCUAUACUGGAGCCAACUGCACUGGUGCUAGUGAGCAAUGUCUCUCAACAAGACCAGGAACCGAGCUUCAA